rnacentral:rRNA from 1 species
GAUGAACGCUGGCGGCGUGCCUAAUACAUGCAAGUCGAGCGAACAGACGAGGAGCUUGCUCCUCUGACGUUAGCGGCGGACGGGUGAGUAACACGUGGAUAACCUACCUAUAAGACUGGGAUAACUUCGGGAAACCGGAGCUAAUACCGGAUAAUAUAUUGAACCGCAUGGUUCAAUAGUGAAAGACGGUUUUGCUGUCACUUAUAGAUGGAUCCGCGCCGCAUUAGCUAGUUGGUAAGGUAACGGCUUACCAAGGUAACGAUGCGUAGCCGACCUGAGAGGGUGAUCGGCCACACUGGAACUGAGACACGGUCCAGACUCCUACGGGAGGCAGCAGUAGGGAAUCUUCCGCAAUGGGCGAAAGCCUGACGGUGCAACGCCGCGUGAGUGAUGAAGGUCUUCGGAUCGUAAAACUCUGUUAUUAGGGAAGAACAAAUGUGUAAGUAACUAUGCACGUCUUGACGGUACCUAAUCAGAAAGCCACGGCUAACUACGUG